AGUGAACGCUGGCGGUAGGCCUAACACAUGCAAGUCGAACGGCAGCACAGUAAGAGCUUGCUCUUACGGGUGGCGAGUGGCGGACGGGUGAGGAAUACAUCGGAAUCUACUUUUUCGUGGGGGAUAACGUAGGGAAACUUACGCUAAUACCGCAUACGACCUACGGGUGAAAGCAGGGGAUCUUCGGACCUUGCGCGAUUGAAUGAGCCGAUGUCGGAUUAGCUAGUUGGCGGGGUAAAGGCCCACCAAGGCGACGAUCCGUAGCUGGGCUGAGAGGAUGAUCAGCGACACUGGAACUGAGACACGGUCCAGACUCCUACGGGAGGCAGCAGUGGGGAAUAUUGGGCAAUGGGGGCAAGCCUGAUGCAGCCAUGCCGCGUGGGUGAAGAAGGCCUUCGGGGUGGAAAGCCCUUUUGUUGGGAAAGAAAAGCAGCAGGGUAAUACGCCGCGGUUGUGACGGUACCCAAAGAAUAAGCACCGGCUAACUUCGUG
rnacentral:rRNA from 1 species